AAGCUGUGAUGAAAUUUUUGUCUAGACUUGUUUAGAUAAAUUUUGAUCUAAACAAGUCUAGACAAAAAUUUCAUCACAGCUUGAAAAAG